CAUGUAGGCGGCAUGACAAGUCUGGUGUGAAAUAUCUCGGCUCAACCGAGAAAACGCACUGGAAACUGUCAAGCUUGAGUAUCGGAGGGGAAGCUAGAAUUCCUGGUGUAGGGGUGAAAUCUGUAGAUAUCAGGAAGAAUACCGGUGGCGAAGGCGAGCUUCUGGCCAGAUACUGACGCCGAGAUGCGAAAGCGUGGGGAGCGAACAGGAUUAGAUACCCUGGUAGUCC
rnacentral:rRNA from 1 species